AACAGGGCAGGUAUAAAUCAUAACUUAUAUCUUCUAACCACGCGGACGAAGUCGCUAGCAACAGCUUAUUGAGGACAAAGAAGAAUGCAAUACGUAAAGUUAAUAAACUAUUUAUUGGUAUCUCUUCUCUACCAGUUCCCAUACUGAUUCUGUAAAUAUUGUUGACAUAGGUUUUUCCAAAAUUUACGGGAACUUGGCUCUCGAUUUAAAGCUCUGAGUACAACACUACUUAUCAGUAUAAGUUAUACGUUCGCAGAGAAUAAAAGACAUAAUAACAACGCGCUAUCUGUUAAGACAGUGUUUAUAAACACAGAAUAUUUAAAUUAUUUGAGUGUGAUAUUUAGUAUUUUGUGUCUUUGAGUGCUUGAGACUUGGAUUGUUAUAUAAGAUAAGUCAAAAUGCGUGCUGAACUGCCCGAAUUCAAAAGAUGCUGUUGCUGUUUCCCACUUCGAUACGGUCUUAUGACAUGGGGAUAUUUGAAACUGAUUUCUUCCUGCUUAUUAUUGAUAACGUUUACAUACGCUCUGUAUUUCACAAUAUGUCGUGUGUUAACUGUCCCUGGCGCUAUCUAUUACUAUGAAGAGAUUACAAUAUAUUGCAUAUUCAUCGCGAUAUUGACGCUAGACGCAACUUUUACUACAGUCUUCGUAGUUGGCGGUCACCAGAAAAGCCCCAAGCUACUGCGCCUGUACUACAUCUACGGGAUAG